AGGGGUGCGAACGGCCAGCAGACGAAGCGCCCCUCCGGGGAUCCCUUCGGGGUGAAACCUCCGGGUCGGAAGUGGCGGAACGGGCGAGUAACGCGUGAGUAACCCGCCCAUAAGAGGGGGAUAAAUCCACGGAAACGCGGACUAAUACCGCAUAUUCGAAACGAAUCCGCAUCGUUUUUCAUUUUCGAAAGAUUUCAUCGCUUAUGGAUGGACUCGCGUCAGAUUAGCUAGUUCGGUGAGGUAACGGCUCACCAAGGCGACGAUCUGUAGCCGAACUGAGAGGUUGAUCGGCCGCAUUGGGACUGAGACACGGCCCAGACUCCUACGGGAGGCAGCAGUGGGGAAUAUUGCGCAAUGGGGGGAACCCUGACGCAGCAACGCCGCGUGCAGGAAGAAGGUCUUCGGAUUGUAAACUGUUGUCGCAAGGGAAGAAGACAGUGACGGUACCUUGUGAGAAAGUCACGGCUAACUACGUGCCAGCAGCCGCGGUAAUACGUAGGUGACAAGCGUUGUCCGGAUUUACUGGGUGUAAAGGGCGCGUAGGCGGGAUAGCAAGUCAGUCGUGAAAUGCCGAGGCUUAACCUCGGAGCUGCGAUUGAAACUGUUAUUCUUGAGUAUCGGAGAGGAAAGCGGAAUUCCUAGUGUAGCGGUGAGAUGCGUAGAUAUUAGGAGGAACACCAGUGGCGAAGGCGGCUUUCUGGACGACAACUGACGCUGAGGCGCGAAAGUGUGGGGAGCAAACAGGAUUAGAUACCCUGGUAGUCCACACCGUANACGAUGGAUACUAGGUGUAGGAGGUAUCGACCCCUUCUGUGCCGCAGUUAACACAAUAAGUAUCCCACCUGGGGAGUACGACCGCAAGGUUGAAACUUCAAGGAAUUGACGGGGGCCCGCACAAGCAGUGGAGUAUGUGGUUUUAUUCCAAGCCACGCGAAGAAACUUACCUUGGC
rnacentral:rRNA from 1 species